UACGAAGGGUGCAAGCGUUACUCGGAAUUAUUGGGCGUAAAGAGCUCGUAGGCGGUCCGUCACGUCCGCUGUGAAAACCCAGGGCUCAACCCUGGGCUUGCAGUGGAUACGGGCAGACUAGAGGUAGGUAGGGGAGAAUGGAAUUCCCGGUGUAGCGGUGAAAUGCGCAGAUAUCGGGAGGAACACCAAUUGCGAAGGCAGCUCGCUGGGACGUCACUGACGCUGAGACGCGAAAGCGUGGGGAGCAAACAGG
rnacentral:rRNA from 1 species